GGAAGGAUCAUUAAUGGAUUGCAAUUAGGGGACUGAUGCUGGGUGGGCUUGUCCACAUGUGUGCUCGUCUCUUAGCAAUAUUUAUCCCAAACACCAGUGCACUUUUGUGAAAGGGGGGUGUCCUUUGAGGGAGCGGGGCUGAUGUUGGCUCCGCCCCUGGGGGGGGGUGUUCCUUCUUUUUCUUAUACGCCAAAUGACAAUAUUGAAUGUGAUCAUGCUGCAAGGCAGAAAAUUGAUACAACUUUUAACAACGGAUCUCUUGGUUCUCGCAUCGAUGAAGAACGCAGCGAAAUGCGAUAAGUAAUGUGAAUUGCAGAAUUCAGUGAAUCAUCGAAUCUUUGAACGCAUCUUGCGCUCCCUGGUAUUCCGGGGAGCACGCCUGUUCGAGUGUCGUGAAAUUAUCAAGCUUGAAUGUGUUUUCUUGACUUGGUGUUGGGCAUUGCCGUGUCCCCCCUUGUAUUUGGGGGGAAUGGCUGGCCUUAAAAGUAUUAGUCUGAUCCCUCAUUCAAUAUUGGUCCCACUCAGCGUGAUAAUGUUUUCUGAUCGCCGAGGGCAAUCCUGUCAUCAGGAUGGACCAAGUCUUGUUUUUUGGGGGGGGGGGGGGGUUGCUUUCCAGACAGAUUUCUUUGAAAUCCGUCCCAUUUCCACGAUUGACCUCGAAUCAGGUGGGAUUACCCGCUGAACUUAAGCAUAUCAAUAAGCGGAGGAAAAGAAACUAACAAGGAUUCCCCUAGUAACGGCGAGUGAAGCGGGAAAAGCUCAAAUUUAAAAUCUGGCAGUCUUUGAUUGUCCGAAUUGUAAUCUAGAGAAGUGUCUUCCGCAUUGGACUGUGUAUAAGUUUCCUGGAUACGGAGCAUCGCAGAGGGUGAGAAUCCCGUCCUUGACACAGACUACCAGUGCUUUUGUGAUGCACUUUCAACGAGUCGAGUUGUUUGGGAUUGCAGCUCAAAAUGGGAGGUAAAUUCCUUCUAAAGCUAAAUAUUGGCGAGAGACCGAUAGUGAACAAGUACCGUGAGGGAAAGAUGAAAAGCACUUUGGAAAGAGAGUUAAACAGUACGUGAAAUUGUUAAAAGGGAAACGCUUGAAGUCAGUCACGCUUGCCUGGACUCAGCCUUUAUCCCCUCGGGUAUUGGUGCAUUUCCUUGCAGACGGGCCAGCGUCCAUGUUGUUCAUCGGAAAAGGGGUGAGAGAAUGUGGCUCCUUCAGGGGAGUGUUAUAGCUUUCACUCGCAUGCGGGGAAUCGAUAUGGAGUGGGUACGGCACACUUCGGUGGUGCUUGUGUUGGCAUAAUGGCUUUAAACGACCCGUCUUGAAACACGGACCAAGGAGUCUAACAUGUCUGCAAGUGUUUGGGUGCGAAACCCGAACGCGUAAUGAAAGUGAUAGCUGGGAAAACCCCCAGGGGGGGGGGAGGCACCGGCGCCCCGAGCUGACCUUCUGUGACGCAUCGGAGGUAGAGCAUAUAUGUUGGGACCCGAAAGAUGGUGAACUAUGCCUGAAUAGGGCGAAGCCAGAGGAAACUCUGGUGGAGGCUCGUAGCGAUUCUGACGUGCAAAUCGAUCGUCAAAUUUGGGUAUAGGGGCGAAAGACUAAUCGAACCAUCUAGUAGCUGGUUCCUGC
rnacentral:misc_RNA from 1 species